GGGCACAUAAUAUAAUGGUUAGUAUGCAUCUCUGAUAAGGAUGUAAUCCUAGUUCGAUUCUAGGUGUGCCCA
rnacentral:tRNA from 1 species